rnacentral:rRNA from 1 species
UUUCGGUAGGUUGACCUGCCGUUGGAUCAGU